AUCCCGUGGUGAAGGCACCUUCUUAAUAGGUCCUUGUAUCUCUCCCAUGCAUCAUAGAGCUUUAGUAAAUCCAUCUGCACAAAAGAAGAAAUAUCAUUCCUUAGUUU
rfam:Gossypium arboreum cultivar AKA8401 contig_11079_7, whole genome shotgun sequence.